UGAUGUAAAAGGCUGGCUAGCGAUAAGGGU
rnacentral:piRNA from 1 species